GAUGAAGAACGUAGCGAAAUGCGAUAAGUAGUGUGAAUUGCAGAAUUCAGUGAAUCAUCGAAUCUUUGAACGCACAUUGCGCCCCUUGGUAUUCCAUGGGGCAUGCCUGUUCGAGCGUCAUUUGUACCUUCAAGCUCUGCUUGGUGUUGGGUGUUUGUCUCGCCUCUGCGUGUAGACUCGCCUUAAAAUAAUUGGCAGCCGGCGUAUUGAUUUCGGAGCGCAGUACAUCUCGCGCUUUGCACUCAUAACGACAGCGUCCAAAAGUACAUUUUACACUCUUGACCUCGGAUCAGGUAGGGAUACCCGCUGAACUUAAGCAUAUCAAUAAGCGGAGGA
rnacentral:misc_RNA from 1 species